rnacentral:sRNA from 1 species
AGUAUUACUAAAAUAAAUGAGAGCAAUG